GACGAACGCUGGCGGCGUGCUUAACACAUGCAAGUCGAACGGAAAGGCCCUGCUUUUGUGGGGUGCUCGAGUGGCGAACGGGUGAGUAACACGUGAGUAACCUGCCCUUGACUUUGGGAUAACUUCAGGAAACUGGGGCUAAUACCGGAUAGGAGCUCCUGCUGCAUGGUGGGGGUUGGAAAGUUUCGGCGGUGGGGGAUGGACUCGCGGCUUAUCAGCUUGUUGGUGGGGUAGUGGCUUACCAAGGCAUUGACGGGUAGCCGGCCUGAGAGGGUGACCGGCCACAUUGGGACUGAGAUACGGCCCAGACUCCUACGGGAGGCAGCAGUGGGGAAUAUUGCACAAUGGGCGGAAGCCUGAUGCAGCAACGCCGCGUGUGGGAUGACGGCCUUCGGGUUGUAAACCGCUUUCGCCUGUGACGAAGCGUGAGUGACGGUAAUGGGUAAAGAAGCACCGGCUAACUACGUG
rnacentral:rRNA from 1 species